GACGAACGCUGGCGGCGUGCUUAACACAUGCAAGUCGAACGAUGAACCCGGAGCUUGCUCCGGCGGAUUAGUGGCGAACGGGUGAGUAACACGUGAGUAACCUGCCCUUGACUCUGGGAUAACUGCUAGAAAUGGUAGCUAAUACCGGAUACGACCCUCGGCGGCAUCGCCAGGGGGUGGAAAGAAUUUCGGUCAAGGAUGGACUCGCGGCCUAUCAGCUAGUUGGUGAGGUAACGGCUCACCAAGGCGACGACGGGUAGCCGGCCUGAGAGGGUGACCGGCCACACUGGGACUGAGACACGGCCCAGACUCCUACGGGAGGCAGCAGUGGGGAAUAUUGCACAAUGGGAGCAAGCCUGAUGCAGUAACGCCGCGUGAGGGAUGAUGGCCUUCGGGUUGUAAACCUCUUUUAGUAGGGAAGAAGCGAAAGUGACGGUACCUGCAGAAAAAGCACCGGCUAACUACGUGCCAGCCGCCGCGGUAA
rnacentral:rRNA from 1 species